rnacentral:rRNA from 1 species
AUUGAACGCUGGCGGCAGGCCUAACACAUGCAAGUCGAACGGUAACAGGAAGAAGCUUGCUUCUUUGCUGACGAGUGGCGGACGGGGGAGUAAUGUCUGGGAAACUGCCUGAUGGAGGGGGAUAACUACUGGAAACGGUAGCUAAUACCGCAUAACGUCGCAAGACCAAAAAGGGGGACCUUCGGGCCUCUUGCCCUCGGAUGUGCCCAGAUGGGAUUAGCUAGUAGGUGGGGUAACGGCUCACCUAGGCGACGAUCCCUAGCUGGUCUGAGAGGAUGAUCAGCCACACUGGAACUGAGACACGGUCCAGACUCCUACGGGAGGCAGCAGUGGGGAAUAUUGGACAAUGGGCGCAAGCCUGAUCCAGCCAUGCCGCGUGUAUGAAGAAGGCCUUCGGGUUGUAAAGUACUUUUAGUGGGGAGGAAAGGAGUAAGGUUAAUACCUCGCCGUAUUGACGUUACCCGAAGAAGAAGCACCGGCUAACUCCGUG